rnacentral:rRNA from 1 species
UACAGAGGUCUCAAGCGUUGUUCGGAUUCAUUGGGCGUAAAGGGUGCGUAGGCGGCGCGGUAAGUCGGGUGUGAAAUCUCGGGGCUUAACUCCGAAACUGCAUUCGAUACUACCGUGCUUGAGGACUGGAGAGGAGACUGGAAUUUACGGUGUAGCGGUGAAAUGCGUAGAGAUUGGAAAGAACACCGAUGGCGAAGGCACUUUACUGGGCUAUUACUAACACUCAGAGACGAAAGCUAGGGUAGCAAAUGGG